UACGUAGGGGGCUAGCGUUGUCCGGAAUCAUUGGGCGUAAAGCGCGCGUAGGCGGCCAGAUAAGUCCGGUGUGAAAGCCCCAGGCUCAACCUGUGAAUGCCGCUGGAAACUGUCUGGCUAGAGUCCGGGAGGGGCGAGUGGAAUUCCUGGUGUAGCGGUGAAAUGCGCAGAUAUCAGGAGGAACACCAAUGGCGAAGGCAGCUCGCUGGAACGGAACUGACGCUGAGGCGCGAAAGCGUGGGGAGCGAACAGG
rnacentral:rRNA from 1 species